rnacentral:rRNA from 1 species
GACGAACGCUGGCGGCGUGGAUAGGCAUGCAAGUCGAACGGUAUCAUCCUUUCGGGGGUGAGGGAGUGGCGAACUGGUGAGUAACACGUAGGUUAUCUACCCUCAAGACGGGGACAACCCAGGGAAACUUGGGCUAAUACCGGAUGUGAGCAACUUUUAGUUGUUUGAAAGGUGGCGUAAGCUGUCGCUUGGGGAUGAGCCUGCGUCCUAUUAGUUAGUUGGUGAGGUAACGGCUCACCUAGGCAAUGAUAGGUAGGCGGCCUUAACGGGUGGUCGCCCACACUGGGAUUGAGAUACGGCCCAGACUCCUACGGGAGGCAGCAGUCGAGAAUAGUCUACAAUGGUCGGAAGACUGAUAGUGCGACGCCGCGUGAACGAUGAAUCCCUUCGGGUGUAAAGUUCUUUUAUAUGUGAGCAGUGCUUCUUAUAUUAACAGUAUGGGGAGAGAGAUAUUAGCAUAUGAAUAAGCAACGGCUAACUCCGUGCCAGCAGCCGCGGUAAACUCGUCU